AACGGUGAAACACCUAAGUGCAAUAUUGAAUAAAGAGAAAAACGGUGAAACACCUAAGUGCAAGUGCAAUUGCACUUAGGUGUUUCACCGUUUUUCUCUUUAUUCAAUAUUGCACUUAGGUGUUUCACCGUUUUUCUCUUUAU